ACAGAUCCCGCGUGAUUUCAUUCAGCAUUUCCCAUCCCCCACCCGGCAUGCGCUGAAUCACGCCGGCGCAAUUAUUUACUGACCGCUUUGCUGUAAUUUUCGGGAGGAGAGGAGACGUUUGCCAUCAGUGUAUCCAAGAAAGUAAUUGGACGGUCUCGGAUUUUGAUGCAAUGGAGCAGCAAUUGGCAGACCCUACCUUCCAGAAAGUUGUAAAUGUACAAGUUGUAAUGGUCAUGUUCAAAUUAUUCCAAUGAAACCUUGCUUAAUAAAGCAUGCAGAAUACAAGUUCUGAAGUUGUUACAAGAAAUAAAGUUUUUCCGGAGCUUAAAAUGAACUUUUUUAGAUAGUUUUUUUAUAAAGUUGUAAAUGUACAAGUUAAAAUAGUCAUGUUUAAAUUUUUCCAAAUAAACUUUGCUUAGAAGCUUGAA